rnacentral:rRNA from 1 species
GUCCACGCCGUAAACUAUGGAUGCUAGCUGUUAUCAGUAUCGACCCUGGUAGUAGCGAAGCUAACGCGUUAAGCAUCCCGCCUGUGGAGUACGAUCGCAAGAUUAAAACUCAAAGGAAUUUACGGGGACCCCGCACAAGCGGUGGAGCGUGUUGUUUAAUUCGAUGGUAAGCGUAGAACCUUACCAGGGUUUGACAUCUCGGGAAGUUUUCCGAAAGGAAAAUGUGCCUUCGGGAACCCGGUGACAGGUGAUGCAUGGCCGUCGU